UUUGAUUAUAAGAUAGAUUUCAAUAUCUACAUUUUAAUAUAUGGGACGGUCCAUCACAAUAGCUUGCCACUAGGCCCUCACGUGUCAUACAGCUAUUGCACUAUACCAUCAAAUAUGAUUGGUGUACCAUCACAACGUACUGACAUUGUACUAGUACAACACACUUGAGCAGAUUCAAGGACUGGCAUAUGAAGGAAUAAACCGCUGGUAGGACCACCAUUGGUGUGUUUGUACAACAACAAUACU